rnacentral:rRNA from 1 species
AUGAACGCUAGCUACAGGCUUAACACAUGCAAGUCGAGGGGCAGCAUGAACUUAGCUUGCUAAGUUUGAUGGCGACCGGCGCACGGGUGAGUAACGCGUAUCCAACCUGCCCAUCACUUGGGGAUAACCUUGCGAAAGUAAGACUAAUACCCAAUGACGUCUCUAGAAGACAUCUGAAAGAGAUUAAAGAUUUAUCGGUGAUGGAUGGGGAUGCGUCUGAUUAGCUUGUUGGCGGGUAACGGCCCACCAAGGCGACGAUCAGUAGGGGUUCUGAGAGGAAGGUCCCCCACAUUGGAACUGAGACACGGUCCAAACUCCUACGGGAGGCAGCAGUGAGGAAUAUUGGUCAAUGGACGAGAGUCUGAACCAGCCAAGUAGCGUGCAGGAUGACGGCCCUAUGGGUUGUAAACUGCUUUUAUAAGGGAAUAAAGUGAGUCUCGUGAGGCUUUUUGCAUGUACCUUAUGAAUAAGGACCGGCUAAUUCCGUG